UUUACUUGAAGAUUGGCAACACUAGCAAGAAAUUAAAACCAGCUGUCAAAUCGUUCCCGCUUUCUCAUCGAAAUUCGAAACAUGUUGUCUGUUUUGAUUUUGAUGCUGCUGCCGAAAUUCGUCAUUUUUUCUCCGGUAAAUUAAAGUGCGCGUUCCUUUGGCCACCGUCAUCAUGUAGCCGAUACGUUAUUAUCUCUGGCAGAAGGUUUAAAACGGGAGAAACGGCAUCAUGAUGUAGAAAGUAAUGGAGUAAUAAUCCGAUGUAAAAAUCGUCAAAGUGAAACGACGGAUAGUUUUUAACCGGACCGCACCAAUUAAAUAACAAGAUCUCAGUCGCUGCUCACCGAUCCGGAGCUGCAGGCCACACAAAUAAGCUGCAGGCCACGAGUAACACUUUGUGAAACAUUCAACGAUUUGGUGCAUCGAGAUAAAUGUCAAACUGUUAAUCAAUUGCCAUUGAAAUUCCCUGAAGGGCAGUGGUUUUUAUAUAUCAUAGUGAAAUACAUCACCGAAUAGCUGAAGAGGAAGAAGGAUGACGGAAACGGAAGACGGAACAAAAAGCAUUGAUGAAAGAGAUCACUCGCAGGAAAACCGAUGAGGUGUGACCUGAUAGGACGUGGUUCUAGUGGAACACUAAACCCCCCUGCGUAGCGGAACGGCUGGGUUAGACAGCUAGCCCCGUAUACUUUUAGUGAAUAAAUCAUACAACAGUUUCCUGGCCAGUAUGGUCAAAAAGAGUGCAGGAAUCAGCUACUGAUGCAGAGGAAGGUCGAACAACAGCGUCUAUUCGGAUACAGCCUAUUCCGGAAAAGUUGCGAUGCGCGAUGCAGUUGCGAGAUUGACAUUUGGGGUAAACGCCAGCGGUAACAACUCGUCAAUCGUCAUCAACGGCAUCUUCCAGCAAUUGAGGACCUGUUCUAUGAAGCAGCUAAUACGGAGGAGAAAUUAAAAUGAAUAUAAAUAUUUUAAAUAAAUAUAUAAGAUGAAAUAAUAAAUAAAUCGAAAAGAAUGAAAUUGAAAGCACACAAUCAUUUCAAAA